AUGGCCACCACCGAGACCUCCCGGAACCGUCAAGACAUGCAUACGGAGACCCUGGAUUCAACAAGUCCCUCUGACCCUGAACAGCUACGGGACAUGCACGACUUCGAACCGUGUACCACGUCGAACAUGUACGGCUACACAACGAACCACCAAGACCCUGAACGACUACCGCCGCCGAAGUCCGCGAGUAUCACUAUGUUUGCCAUGUACAUCUACACCAAGACUGGACCGACAAGUACCGCGAGAAUGUUUGUACCUCUACCGUCGCCGUGGAUCCGACAAGUACCCCUACAACAAGUGUACCUCUACCGUCGUCUUCGGAAUCGCUAA
rnacentral:rRNA from 1 species